UUAGAGGAUUAAAAUACCCUAAAAGUACCAGAUCCCAUCUGACUUUGGAAGCUAAGAAGGGCCAGGCCUAGUUGGUAUUUCAAUGGGAGACUACUAAUGAAAACCAGAUGCUAUACAGA
rnacentral:rRNA from 1 species